rnacentral:rRNA from 1 species
AACGAACGCUGGCGGCAUGCCUAACACAUGCAAGUCGAACGAUUGCCUUCGGGUGAUAGUGGCGCACGGGUGCGUAACGCGUGGGAAUCUGCCCUUAGGUUCGGAAUAACAGCUGGAAACGGCUGCUAAUACCGGAUGAUAUCGCGAGAUCAAAGAUUUAUCGCCUGAGGAUGAGCCCGCGUUGGAUUAGGUAGUUGGUGGGGUAAAGGCCUACCAAGCCGACGAUCCAUAGCUGGUCUGAGAGGAUGAUCAGCCACACUGGGACUGAGACACGGCCCAGACUCCUACGGGAGGCAGCAGUGGGGAAUAUUGGACAAUGGGCGAAAGCCUGAUCCAGCAAUGCCGCGUGAGUGAUGAAGGCCCUAGGGUUGUAAAGCUCUUUUACCAGGGAAGAUAAUGACUGUACCGGGAGAAUAAGCCCCGGCUAACUCCGUG